UAACGCCAGCUCUGGCUGGAAAGCAUUGACGGCUGGCACAAAGUUGAGGAGUGCGAUGAACACAAAAUAGACAUUGGCCAAGCGGUGGAACUGUUCAAAGAGGUUCUUGGGCAGGAAGGAGAGCACAGUGUACUUGGUGGUCUUCAGACGGUUGCUGGCCAGAACCGUCCUCCUAGACUUCUCUGCCUCGGCCUCAGAAAUGCCACUGCGGGACAAGGAGGACACACUAUCACUCUGCAGUAUUCCCAGAAAUGAGGCUUCACUCACCAGAGGGCUCCUUGCAGGCAGUUGCAGAUAAUCCAAAACUGCCACUUGCCCACUGUUUUGUAAGACUCUGGUCCAUCUUUAACCUCUAGGACCUCAAGCAUUGUUCAGGCUUCAUCUUUUUUUUCCCAGAUGGUCCUCUAGCUUGUUUACACAAUGUUUGGUGAUUAGAGGAACAUCGGCAGCAAUCUUUAGUCUCUUGUGAUGUCAAAGCAUAUCAUGUUUCAGAGCAAGCUACUCAUAUAUUUAUUAGUGCCAGGUAACUCAGAAGCGGCUUCAGUAUAGCAUGUCUGAACAGAAUGCUGGUGCAGACACCAAUGAUGAAGGGUAGUGUUGAGCCUGUCCUGGGAGGGGAAGUGACCCAGUUACUACACCACUGAGAAACAGGGUCAUUGGAGCAAAGCACUAAAACUGAGGAAUGCCUGAGGAUUACUCUGUGCUCCAACAAAGCAAAUCCUGCCACCCAUUGAUGUCUCCUUCCUGUGAGGAGCUCUUCCUUCAUUGUCACAUGGCUGCUUCUGACCAUCCUCCAUCUCACUGGCCAAAACACUCUGCAAUUUGCUAGGUAUCUGCCGUUAAACUGAAUCUGGCCUUUUACACCCAACAUCUCUUGAGUUUCAAGCCUUCCCCAGUAUCUGACUCUUUUCAACUGUACAGAUUUUCUUCAAAUUAAGAACUAAAGAUGAAAAAUGUGUCUAGUGAGCUCAUCUUUGAUAGCCUAGACCAUUAAAAGCUGAGUCUCUAGAUAUGACACUGCUUUGAAGGCCAGAAGGAACCAAAGGAUUGUCUGACCCAAGAUACUGUAUUAACUUGGCCUUUUAAAUGUCACACAGCCCACAGCCUGGAAUCAUUAAGUUACAGAAUCACAGAAUAUAUCUGGCUGGUAGAGACUUCAAAGAUCAUCCAAUCCAACCUUCGAUUCAGCACAGAAGGGACAUUAAACCAUGUCCCUAAAUGCCAGGUCCACACACUGUUUGGAAACCUCCAGGGAUAGUGACUCCAGCACUGACCUGGACAGACCAUUCCAAUGUUUGGUAACCCUCUCUGUGAAAUAUUUUGUAACAUCUGGCCUGAUCCUCCCCUGGUGCAACUUGAAACCAAUUCCUCUGGUUCUGUGACUUGACACCAAGGAGAAGAGGCUGGCCUUCACCAGUGCCAAGUACAGGACAAUGACCACCGUCCUGUUCCUGCUGGCCACAGUGUUUCUAACACAAGCCAGAAUGCCACUGGCUUUCUUGGCCACCUGAGCACACUGCUGAGUCAUGUUUAGUCCAUUGUCAACCAAUACCCCCAGGUCCCCCCCAGGUAGCAGCUUUCCAACCACACAUCCCCAAGUCUGUAGCUUACCAUGGUGUUGUUGUGACCCAGGUGGAGGACCUGGCACUUGGCCUUGUUAAACUUUAUACCAUUAGCCUUGGCCCAUCAGUCUAACCUGUCUGGAUCAUGAUGUAAAGCUUCCCUACCCUCUAGCAGAUUGACACAGCUACCCAUCUUGGACAUCUGCAAACUUACUGAGAGUGCACUCAAUCCCCUCAUCCAGAUCACUGAUAAAGAUUUUAAAGAGGGCAGGCCCCAGUACUGAACCCUGAGGGUAUCACAAGUAACUGAGUGCUAUCCAGACUUAAAUCCAUUCACCACCACUCUUUGGGCUCAACCAUUCAGACAGUUUUUAAUCCAAUGCAGAGUGCUCUUACCCAAGCCUCGCACCAUUGAGUUUCUGAAGGAGAAUGCUGUGGGAGACAGUGUCAAGGGCUUUACUAAUGUCCAAGCAGACAAUGUCCACAACACUACUCUCAUCAACUAGGUUGGUCACCUUAUUCUAGAAGAUCAGAUUAGUCAGACAGGCGCUGCCUUUCAUAAACCCAUGCUGAUGGGGCCUGAUUCCUGCUUGUCUUGUAAGUGCUGUAUGAUGGCACAGAAUCACAGAACCUUAAUGGUUGAAAGGGACCUCCAGAGAUCAUCGACUCUGAGAAAUAUAUGUUUGAUCCGAUCAAUUCGUGGCAAGAGGCCACAGACAGGGAGGAAGGAGAGUUUUGAAUGGAGCUGCACUCCUCCUUGCACAACCAUCACAGAAACAUACACUUGACUUAAGAUAACAGCAAUAAAUAAUUAGAAACUAGAAAGACUGGUGGAGGAGGGAGGCAGGUGGAAGAGACAGCCUUUGCGCGUGAGCAAACCGAGGACUAGUUUGGAGUUCAUGGAAAGGACACUUGGGGAAGACCCCUCACUUCAUCACUGAAGACCACCAGAGGGACCACGUGUGGAAGAGACACCUCCCAUUCUUAGAACUGAUAAGGAAAACCCAACCUUUUUUUAGAAUUAGUAAUGAAUAUGUAAUAGAAUAGGAUAUAAAAAGAGAAAACUGAAGGCAAAGAGCAAAGCCUCCCCGCGCACCCAGGCCUGUACAUUGCUUGAUUCCUGCAACUCUAUUAAAGCCUUAACUUGCAUGAAUGCAUGUUUAUGCCUGUUAUUUAUGACAACUCCAGCCUCUUCUGCCAAGGCACAAUUCCCUAGGGUAGUUUGCUCAGGAACACAUUAGGGUGGGUUUUGAAAGUCUCCAAAGAAGGAGGCUCCACUGCCUCUCUGGGCAGCCUGUUCCAAUGCUCUGUCACCCUCACUGUAAAGAAGUUUCUCCUCAUGUUGAGGUGAAAUCUUCUAUGUUCCAGUUUGUAGCUACUGCUCCUUGUCUUACUGCUGCUGACCAGUGAAAAGAUAUUUGCCCCAUCCACUUGACAGCCACCCCUCAGAUAUUUAUACACAUUUAUCAGAUCUCCUCUCAGUCUUCUCCAGACUAAACAACCCCAGGUUUCUCAGUCUGUCUUUGUAGGGGAGAUGCUCAGGUCCCCCAGUCAUCCUCAUGUCUCUCUGCUGCCACUCAGUUAAGUUCCAUAAGCAGUUUUUAUUAUGUGGACAGGCUGUUUGCUUAGAAAUUAGAUAUAGGUUGUUUUAUUCUUCUCAGAUUAACCAUCUCUAAUUAGAUUUUCUGUGAUUUGAGGUUUUGUAGGUAUAUGAGUAUCAUAAAAGGGACCAAAAAUGCUUUUAGCCUGAUGGUUGAGUGGAAUGGUAUGAAAAUAACAUCCACUUAAAAUCUGAGAAAGAAAACUUAAUAGAUAAUGAGAAAGGGUCCCAAAUAUGUUACUAAUAAAAUAACUCAUUAUUUGACUUGUCAGUAUUUUUGAAUGCCUGGAGUUAUCGUUAUUCCAUUUUAACAGAAGAUGAAGCAGGUCUAAUUUUAACACAUUGUCUAAUUUACUAGUCCACUUUUGUAAUAUUUAUAUGAUCCUAAAAUAAAGGUUUCUCAUGUUGGAUAUUGCCAGAAA